UGUUGGCUUAGUUAGGAGGCAGAAAUCAACUUUAUUUCUCUUCUUAUGCAUUUUGAGGGAACAGCUUGGUUAUCCAUAUAGUUGUUCUUCAAGCAGCAUUGGACAUUG